rnacentral:rRNA from 1 species
GCUUAGGGACUGCGGAGGGACAUUACAAGAACGCCCGGGCUUCGGCCUGGUUAUUCAUAACCCUUUGUUGUCCGACUCUGUUGCCUCCGGGGCGACCCUGCCUUCGGGCGGGGGCUCCGGGUGGACACUUCAAACUCUUGCGUAACUUUGCAGUCUGAGUAAACUUAAUUAAUAAAUUAAAACUUUUAACAACGGAUCUCUUGGUUCUGGCAUCGAUGAAGAACGCAGCGAAAUGCGAUAAGUAAUGUGAAUUGCAGAAUUCAGUGAAUCAUCGAAUCUUUGAACGCACAUUGCGCCCCCUGGUAUUCCGGGGGGCAUGCCUGUUCGAGCGUCAUUUCACCACUCAAGCCUCGCUUGGUAUUGGGCAACGCGGUCCGCCGCGUGCCUCAAAUCGUCCGGCUGGGUCUUCUGUCCCCUAAGCGUUGUGGAAACUAUUCGCUAAAGGGUGUUCGGGAGGCUACGCCGUAAAACAACCCCAUUUCUAAGGUUGACCUCGGAUCAGGUAGGGAUACCCGCUGAACUUAAGCAUAUCUA